CGCCCUGUUAGAUUAAUCGUUGACUAUUUAUUCAGUCAUUUUAUAUAUAUAUGGAUGUGAACCCAUUUGUCACUGUGGGUCGACGAUUUAACUUAUUUUUAGAGAGAAGUUCACCCGUUUUGGAUACAAUGAAUUGAUAGCUCCCGCAGACAUGUACCUGUAUGUUCCCUCAGAAAUUAAACGGUCAUUAAUGAAUAUUACAGAGAUGCGUGUAUCUAAUUACUUCAUAGUAAAGUUAUGUAAGUCAACAACAUAGGACGUGUAAUUUUAAAUUUUUUGGUUCAUCCUCGAGGGUGUCAACUUUCAUAAAAUAUAACACCUAUAGGAUCCUAUUAGAAAAAUGUUGGAAUAGAUUAACGUUCACGGAUAAUGAUAGUUCUCUUGUCAUGUUCCCGACACACAACAGGAUUUUGGCUAGGCUUCCUUUUGAUCCCCUCAUUAAUUUGGUGGUCAUGAAAAAAAGGGGGGGGGUGUCAAAAUAACUCUUAGUUUCUUUUUCUUUAUUUUACUUUAUUGUAUUACUUUUUAUAUUCGAACAGAUGUACACCACUGAGUAUAUAAACAUGAUCAAACUGGUGUGUUUUUCCCCCUUUCUUGUUUUAGUAUUUAGUGCACAUAUCAUGCAUAUCGUGUUUGACCUGUUGGUAAACAUAUUAAUAGUACUAAAGUGAUGGCGUUCAAUGAAUAAAUUUAUUUUUCACCUUUUGUAUAUAAAUACAUAUUUUCGUGUGAUUAUACAUAAAUCACAUCUAUGGUUUAUGCAUAACUAAUAAUUA
rnacentral:lncRNA from 1 species